rnacentral:rRNA from 1 species
GACGUAGGGCGCGAGCGUUGUCCGGAUUUAUUGGGCGUAAAGAGCUCGUAGGCGGCUCAUUGCGUCAACCGUGAAAACCAGCAGCUCAACUGUUGGCUUGCGGUUGAUACGGGUGGGCUGGAGUUCGGUAGGGGAGACUGGAAUUCCUGGUGUAGCGGUGAAAUGCGCAGAUAUCAGGAGGAACACCGGUGGCGAAGGCGGGUCUCUGGGCCGAUACUGACGCUGAGGAGCGAAAGCCGUGGGGAGCGAACAGG